CAAAGAUCUAGUUCAGAGCAUGCUGUGAGUCGGUACACGUCUCGUCCUGCCUCCAGGGACUCUUCCUCCGUACCAGCAGGUCCUGUAAUGAGCUGACCUGUGCGAGAGGAUCCUGCCCCCUCCGCCAAGCUCCAGAAGUUGUUACGCUGUGUCUAGAGCCACGGAGGAGCUGUCCAACGGAGAAUGCCUCCUGAAGAAGAAACGUGUCCUGUGUAUCGGAAAGAGCUCUCUCUCCUUGCUGGAAGCCCCAGCCUCCCUCGUGGCAGCGCCUGAUGCAGAAACAGCUUCACGGGAAAAUUUCAAUCUAACAUCAACAGGAGAUUUGGAAGAUGAAUUGUACAAGCUUCUCCUUCCACCAAAGAUGCUGCUUUGUUUUGCUUUUUAGCAUU